GGCAGUUCUUGGUUGACACACACCGGAAUCGGGCUCCUUCCUCUCUGGUUCUGGGUGCAUCACUCAAGAACCGCA
rfam:Myotis davidii contig54533, whole genome shotgun sequence.